rnacentral:rRNA from 1 species
CGUGUAGGCGGUUUUAUAAGUCUGAUGUGAAAGCCCUGGGCUCAACCCGGGAAGUGCAUUGGAUACUGUAAGACUUGAAUACGGGAGAGGGCAGUGGAAUUCCUAGUGUAGGAGUGAAAUCCGUAGAUAUUAGGAGGAACACCGGUGGCGAAGGCGGCUGCCUGGACCGAUAUUGACGCUGAGACGCGAAAGCGUGGGUAGCAAACA